AUUGAACGCUGGCGGCAUGCUUUACACAUGCCAGUCGAACGGUAACAGGCCUUCGGGUGCUGACGAGUGGCGCACGGGUGAGUAAUGCAUCGGAACGUACCCAGAGGUGGGGGAUAACGCAGCGAAAGCUGUGCUAAUACCGCAUGUGAUCUGAGGAUGACAGCGGGGGACCGAGCAGCAAUGUUUGGCCUCGCGCCUUUGGAGCGGCCGAUGUCGGAUUAGCUAGUUGGUGGGGUAAAGGCCUACCAAGGCGACGAUCCGUAGCUGGUCUGAGAGGACGACCAGCCACACUGGGACUGAGACACGGCCCAGACUCCUACGGGAGGCAGCAGUGGGGAAUUUUGGACAAUGGGCGCAAGCCUGAUCCAGCAAUGCCGCGUGCGGGAAGAAGGCCUUCGGGUUGUAAACCGCUUUUGGCAGGAACGAAACGGUGUCCGCUAAUACCGGGCGCUAAUGACGGUACCUGCAGAAUAAGCACCGGCUAACUACGUG
rnacentral:rRNA from 1 species